rnacentral:snoRNA from 1 species
GACUGGCAAGGAUGAUACACACUUGCCCUCACUUAGACUAUAGUUCACUGAUGAGAGCAUUGUUCUGAGCCAGUC